CGCUUUAACAACAAAGCGCUCAUCCCUUGUUCUUUCGCUUGGAAGCUCAAUCCCCUCGCUUCUUCUUUUGCUUCUACUCUCGUGCUUUCAGCAAGUUCUUACUAG
rnacentral:rRNA from 1 species